GUUGGGUUGCAAUUUCCAUUAUCCGCAGUCGGCAUGGCGGAUAAUCAAAAGUGAUGGGAAUUGUCAUUCAAAAACAUCUAGGGACUCAAAUUGGGUAAAAACUACAGAGCAAUUAACAUAAUGUAAAAUAAUUAUUGUUGGCCUACUGUUUUCACAGAUUUUUCAUCCACUGAUUCAAUGGCCCUUUAAAGGCAAUCAUAAGGUUGAUCUGGCCCCUGAUUAAAAUGAGUUUUACACCCCUGCCUAAGAUUUUAAGGGCACUAAAUAUCCUAAAGGCACUAUUUAAGUAGGAUCAACUUGGAUGGGAGAUCACCAAGGAACAACGGGCGCUAUAGUCUCUUAUUUCAGAGGAAGGAACUGGCAAAACCAUAUCUGAGUGUGUUGUCGAAGGCUUUUAUGGCCGGAAUCACUGGGUUGCUGUGAGUUUUCCAACAAAUGCUACGUUCAGAAAAGGACAAGAGGGGCCCUCUCACCUCUGUAGGAGCCUACCGUAUAUCAUGCAGCUGUGGACAAGUCUGCAUAGGGACCACCAAACGCAGCAUUGCCCAAACACGAAUCAAGGAACAUGAAAGGCACUGCAGACUAACUCAACUAGAGAAGUCAGCCAUAGCAGAGCACUUGAUGAACCAACCUGGACACAGCAUAUUAUUUGAGAACACAGAAAGGCUGGACCACUCUAACAACCACAUCAGACUACACAGAGAAGCCACUGAAAUCCACAAGCAUCUGGAUAAUUUCAACAGAAAGGAGGAAAACAUGAAAAUGAACAAAAUCUGCCUACCAGUAUUUUAUAAAACUCUAGAAUCUGAACAAUAAAUAAAGAGCAACACUAAAAAAAAAACAAAAAAAACAGGGAAAUUAUAGACAGGAAACAACCUCUCAAAAAAAGGAUUCCCCCCAGGCAAAGUAGCCAGGCUUUGAAGUUGCAAGGCAAUUCAAUGGUAAUCAAGGUGGCCAACUGCAACAUUCACACUUGUCUCAAACAAGCAAGAGUUCUUUCUUCCACCCUGGGCAUUCCACAGAUAUAUAAACCCCAUUUACCUAGUUUCCAACAGACCUCACAACCUCCAAGGAUGCCUGCCAUAGAUGUGGGCGAAAUAGCAGGAGAGAAUGCCUCUGGAACAAGGUUAUAUAGCUGGAAAACUCAUAGCAACCCAUAUCUGAGUGUUCCUAACCAAAGAAAACCCUAUGGAAAUUCAGUGGGUUGCUGUAACUUGACAAGUGUCUGAAGGUGCAUGUAUGUUUCUAAAAAUUGAAUAUUUCAAAUUGUAAAGGAUAUGAGCUUUUCAAAAGCACUAGCUUUUGGAAUUCCACAUAUCUGCCAGAAUUAGGAAGGCGAAUGAGGCCACUUCCUCCCAAGCCUCAGGCUAAAAUAGUAACUGACAUAUCCAUAUCUGUGAACUCAUGUCCCUGCAAAGUAGUGGUCUGAGGAGGGGGAAUUUGUAGUGCAAUCAAAUUGUAUGUCUCUCUUUCCUCUACUUCUCUGGGUCAUGGCCAAAGUACACAUACACACCAUUUGCAGGUUGAGGGUUUACAAGGAAAACCGGGAGGCAGUUGUGUGCGCAUUACUACACAGUUUAUCUUACCAGCAUAUAUCUCUACAGUAAUAUAAACAUAUAUACAUAAUUAGUUUUAAAAGAGAAUUUCCUACUUCCCUUUUGUUGAUUUCUCUAUAGCUCAACAUUUUUCCUACUUUAUAUCCAGAAAAUUUACUUCUGCCUAUUUUUAUAUUAUCAAAUGAAUAUCCAACAGUAUAUAUCUCUAAACUUUUACACAAAGUCUUUCACUCUCCCUCAAAUAUAUAUUGAUAGAAAGGUUUCUUUUAAGAAUUUGUCCAGUGAUUUAAUUCUUCAACAAAAUUAUUAACUUUUUCAUUUCUAUUGAUUUCAUAUCUUCACUGUCCAAUCUUCCAUAGUUGGCAUCUCUGUUUUUUUCCAUCAUUUGAGCAAAAAGGAUUCUUGAUACUAUUAACAUGUACUAUAAUAGUCUCUCAUGCUCCUUUUUAUUUGAUAAUCCAACUGUCCUAGUAGUAUGAGUUCUGAUUUAAAGCUGAUUCUUAAAAAUUUCUUGGAUUACUUUGUGAAUUUGUCUCAAAAACGUUUUUGGUCUUUUUACAGGUCCACCACAUAUGGUAAUAGGACACUCCUUGAACUUCAAUUUUCCAGCAUUUGUUAUUUGCUCCUUUAUAUCUAUGCGGAUUUUUUUUGUGUCAGGAGCAACUUGAGAAACUGCAAGUCGCUUCUGGUGUGAGAGAAUUGGCUGUCUGCAAGGACGUUGUCCAGGGGACGCCCGAUGUUUGAUGUUUAUCUAUCCUUGUGGGAAGCUUCUAUCAUGUCCCUGCAUGGGGAGCUGGAGCUAACAGAGGGAGCUCACCUGCUAUCCCCGGAUUUGAACCGGCAACCUGAAGUUACAGUUAGUGUCAAGCACAUUUUGUGUGAUCGAAAACAAUCCUUCUUUUAAUGUGGUUCACGGACCUCAAGCCAUCUUGAUGUGUAAGUCAAAGAUCUGACAGAACAACUCUGGCUGUGAGGAUUCAUAAUCAAUAUACACUUGAAACAACCACUAGAAGAGGAAGAUGUUGAUUGAACAGCACUCACCAUAGCCAGACACUACUGUAGACAGAGAUGGAACAACAACUGCAGAAGCUGGAAGCAAGUUAAAGGUGUCAUUAAACCAGUGAAUCUAAAUGUCUAAGUGAAAAGACAUACAGUAGAGUCUCACUUAUCCAACAUAAACGGGCCGGCAAAACAUUGAAUAAGCAAAAAUGCUGGAUAAUAAAGAGGGAAUAAAGAAAAGCCUAUUAAACGUUAAAUUACAUUAUGAUUUUACAAAUUAAGCACCAAAACAUCAUGUUUUGCAACAAGUCUGCCACUGGUUUGGGAGUGUGGCUAAACUUCUAACCCUAAACUUCUGCCCACUGAGCGCUGCUGCCUAGAAAAACAGCUGUGGAUCCGGGUGGGAGGCAAACUGAGUUGGAUAAUGCAGAACAUUGGAUAAGCGAAGGUUGAAUAAGUGAGUCUCUACUGUACAUAUAUGACAGACAAGUAGUGAAAACUUUCAUUUUCAUGGAUUACUAUUUUGAAAAUCGGUCAAUGUUUACUUUGCUUUCCUGUAAAGUAUUGCCAACUAUGGACCAUUGGGGGCUAAUAUUCUGUAGGCCUCUAGGAAGUGUUCUAUAAGGGCUGCCAACAAUUAAAAAAAAUAUUCCAGCACAAAAACAAAAGUAGCUUGCUUGGGGUUCAAAAAAACAACUGUAUUCAAGGCCAAACUGUGUAGACAAGCCCCUUAGAAUCUAUUCAAAACUGAAGUGUAUCUCCUAGAAGCUUUUCCCAAGAAAUAGGGAGGUCUCUGUAGAGACCAAGGGCCACAAAGACAACUUUGGGAACCACAGGCAGCAAGGGGCCACACUCUGCCCAACUCUCAUUUAUAGUUUGAAAAGCAUCUUGGAUCAUGAAACUUUCCCCACCACCAUUGAAAGUGAGACAUUUUCAUCAAUGUCCUUAGUUCAAUGGACAACAAUCACUAUUUUCUGAGACACUAUAAUUUUGCAGGGAGGGAGAUGCUAGGACAGGGUUAAUAGAAUCACAAAUUCCCAUCAGGGCUUAGAAGGAGGCAGGAAAGGCUCAGUAUAAGCUGAAACAGCACAAUCUAAUGAUAUGUCUAAACAUCACCCUGGCAACUUCCAGGAAGACCAUUAGCAUGAGAAGAAACUGUGCUGCACUUCCUUCAAGACUUUAGAAGCAAAGAAAUCAGCUUUUCUAAUUUAAAGCUCUCUGCGUUAAUAAAUUCAAUCAAACUACGCAACACAUUCAACAUGCUUCACUUAACUUUCGAGCUCACCAAAAGAGUAGAGAAACAAUCCAGUGCUCAGGAUGAUCACAUUGUUACUCCAGCCAAUUAAAAGGAAAGCAGGAACCAACAGCAGUAUUGCCUGCCAAAAGGAAAGGGAGUGGAGAGAGAAUGAUAAAUCUCAUGGUUUUCAUCAAGCAAUGGUCUCACGAAAGAGAAUUCCUCAUUUGCCUGAAUUACUUUUGAGACCAGGUGGCUUACUGCCAAAGGGAUGGUCUAUUCUGCUUUGAUCAGACUUUGCCUGGAAUACUGUGUCCAUUUCUGGAUCUCACAGUUCAAGGAGGAUAUUGACAAGCUGGAAAUUGAAUGUGUGACAAACGCCAAGUUUUCUAUUGUAUAAUGUACACUGCAUUUUACACUGUCUUGUUAUAUAUGCCAAAAAAGGCUUAUUGGAUUGGACAUGCAAACUAAUCGGGCUGUGGCGCAGCUGUUGAGCAGCUGCCUUAAAUCACUCUGACCAUGAGGUCAUGAGUUCGAGGCCAGCCCGUGGCGGGGUGAGCACCCGUCAAUUAAAAAUAAAAAAUAGCCCCUGCUCGUUGCUGACCUAGCAACCCGAAAGAUAGUUGCAUCUAUCAAGUAGGAGAUAAGGUACCACUAAAGUGGGGAGGCAAGAUUAACUAAUUUACGACCUGGAAUGAGGAAGUGCCGUCAGUGUGGAUGAUGAAGCAGCUGCUCCCCCCUGUGGCCAGAAUCGAACAUCCCCUCAGAAGAACGUUAACUUGCCUCUGCGUGUGUCUCUCAGUCUCUGUUUGAUGUGUUUAUGGGCAUUGAAUGUUUGCCCUAUGUGUGUUAUAAUGUGAUCCGCCCUGAGUCCCCUUCGGGGUGAGAAGGGCGGAAUAUAAAUACUGUAAAUAAAUAAAUAAAUAAAUA